AGUGAACGCUGGCGGCAGGCCUAACACAUGCAAGUCGAGCGGCAGCGCGUCCGACCACCCUCGGGUGGUCGGAUGGCGGCGAGCGGCGGACGGGUGAGGAAUGCAUCGGAAUCUGCCUCGUUGUGGGGGAUAACGUAGGGAAACUUACGCUAAUACCGCAUACGACCUACGGGUGAAAGUGGGGGACCUUCGGGCCUCACGCGAUGAGAUGAGCCGAUGCCGGAUUAGCUAGUUGGCGGGGUAAAGGCCCACCAAGGCGACGAUCCGUAGCUGGUCUGAGAGGAUGAUCAGCCACACUGGAACUGAGACACGGUCCAGACUCCUACGGGAGGCAGCAGUGGGGAAUAUUGGACAAUGGGGGCAACCCUGAUCCAGCCAUGCCG
rnacentral:rRNA from 1 species